GCAUAUCAAUAAGCGGAGGAAAAGAAACCAACAGGGAUUGCCCUAGUAACGGCGAGUGAAGCGGCAACAGCUCAAAUUUGAAAUCUGGCGCAAGCCCGAGUUGUAAUUUGUAGAGGAUGCUUCUGGGUAGCGACCGAUCUAAGUUCCUUGGAACAGGACGUCAUAGAGGGUGAGAAUCCCGUAUGUGACCGGCCCGCACCCUUUACGUAGCUCCUUCGACGAGUCGAGUUGUUUGGGAAUGCAGCUCUAAAUGGGAGGUAAAUUUCUUCUAAAGCUAAAUACCGGCCAGAGACCGAUAGCGCACAAGUAGAGUGAUCGAAAGAUGAAAAGUACUUUGGAAAGAGAGUUAAAAAGCACGUGAAAUUGUUGAAAGGGAAGCGCCUGCAACCAGACUUCGCGGCAGUGUUCCGCCGGUCUUCUGACCGGUUCAUUCUCUGUCGCGAGGCCAUCAUCGUCUGGGCCCGCCGGAUAAGACCUUAGGAAUGUAGCUCACCUUCGGGGGAGUGUUAUAGCCUAGGGUGAUGCGGCGAGGCUCGGGCGAGGUCCGCGCUUCGGCAAGGAUGAUGGCGUAAUGGUUGUCGGCGGCCCGUCUUGAAACACGGACCAAGGAGUCUAACAUCUAUGCGAGUGUUCGGGUGUCAAACCCCUACGCGUAAUGAAAGUGAACGGAGGUGGGAACCGCAAGGUGCACCAUCGACCGAUCCUGAUGUCCUCGGAUGGAUUUGAGUAAGAGCAUAGCUGUUGGGACCCGAAAGAUGGUGAACUAUGCCUGAAUAGGGUGAAGCCAGAGGAAACUCUGGUGGAGGCUCGCAGCGGUUCUGACGUGCAAAUCGAUCGUCAAAUUUGGGUAUAGGGGCGAAAGACUAAUCGAACCAUCUAGUAGCUGGUUCCUGCCGA
rnacentral:rRNA from 3 species